UACGAAGGGGGCUAGCGUUGCUCGGAAUUACUGGGCGUAAAGCGCACGUAGGCGGAUUGUUAAGUCAGGGGUGAAAUCCCGGGGCUCAACCCCGGAACUGCCUUUGAUACUGGUAGUCUCGAGUCCGGAAGAGGUGAGUGGAAUUCCGAGUGUAGAGGUGAAAUUCGUAGAUAUUCGGAGGAACACCAGUGGCGAAGGCGGCUCACUGGUCCGGUACUGACGCUGAGGUGCGAAAGCGUGGGGAGCAAACAGG
rnacentral:rRNA from 1 species